rnacentral:rRNA from 1 species
GACGUAGGGCGCGAGCGUUGUCCGGAUUUAUUGGGCGUAAAGAGCUCGUAGGCGGCUUGUCGCGUCGUUCGUGAAAACCCGGGGCUCAACUCCGGGCUUGCGGGCGAUACGGGCAGGCUAGAGUUCGGUAGGGGAGACUGGAAUUCCUGGUGUAGCGGUGGAAUGCGCAGAUAUCAGGAGGAACACCGGUGGCGAAGGCGGGAUCCUGGGCCAGUACUGACGCUGAGGAGCGAAAGCGUGGGGAGCAAACAGG